GCGGCCAUAGUUAAACAGGAUAUAACUGCCCCCUCCUAAGGGGCUGUUCGGGGUUCGAGUCCUCGUGGCUGUACCA
rnacentral:tRNA from 2 species